AGGUUCGCCCCUACACGCCCGCCCCUGCGUUUUGCUCUCUGGUGCCCCUGUUGCGCCCUGGAACCCAGCGGGGCCCACACACGGGGCAGAUUUCUUUCUUUCCUUUUUCCAACCAAGAGCUGCUGCAGCAAAUCCGAGAAUCAAAUAAAAAUCGCCGGGCGGACCCCGAAGUGGUCGUCAGCCGAAGCGCAACUGCCACCCCACCCUCCCCCCAGCCCAAUGCGCGCCCCCCUCCUGGCCUCCCGGCGCGCCGAGGGUUAAGCGCGCGCCCGAGGGGGUAUUUGGCGAGGGGGAGGAGCGGGGGCGAGGUGGGGUGCCGAGAGCCGCGGGCCGGGGAAGCUGGGCUCGCUCUCGUUCCCUCCACCAGCCCCGGAGUGGCGGGGCGGGCGCGAUCGGAAAGGCCUGGUGCGUCUCCGCCUCCCCGGCUGGCCGGGAGCCGAGUCUGGCCGCGGCCCGGAACCGCGAGGACGCUGCUCGGAGGCCGCGUCCUGCGUAGCCCGAGCAGGGAGGGGGCGGAGGCUCGGGAGCCGUAGCCGCGCGUCGCCAGCCAGCCGAUCGAUCCCUAGGGGCGGGAGCGCGGCGAGUCCCGCUGGACACGGGGGGGCGGGGGUGUCCCUGCAGGAUCGAGGGGCGAACGGAGGGGGUGCUCAGGGACCCGGUGACCGUGUGAUGGCGGCCGGGAGGGCCCUGCCAGAGCACAGCUCGGCCUGCACUGUGGGGGCUGGGGGCGGGUGGUAACGCCUCGGGCACCCCCAAAAUCCCAUAUUGUCUGUAUCAGGCCCCCGUUUUGGUCACUUCCGGAGCUGAGUCUGGCUGCAGCGCAACUUCGUCCCUCCAUGUCCAGGCCCCCUCCCCGCCCCAGCCCCACCCCACUCCCACCCCACCCCUGGAUGACGAGGUCGUCGGACGUCUCACCCAGUCCACCCCCCUCACCCACCCCACUGAAUCCUGGUAGAAGUGGGUGGGUGUCCUCUCCACCCCACCUCCGGAAAGAUCCCCCAGGUCUGCCCAAGAAGUCUCCUCCCCAGCUUCUUCCGGAGGGCCGUUUUCCUGGGAGGGCCCCUGACGACCCACGAGGGAUCCCCUUCGGCUGCCGGGGGGCUUUGGCGGCGGCCUCACCUGCCUGCUCCGGGCGUCCAGGCGGGGCCUGGGCAGGGGCCCCGAGGAGCCUGCACUCGCUCCGCCCUCCCCUAGGGGGCGAGCUCCCCUCGGGCUGGCCGGCGCCCGGGGCCUGCGGCCGCCCCUCCGCGCCUCUCCCGCCCGGGCAGCGGCUCGCGUGCGGGCGAGUGGGGGGUCUCGCUGCAGCGGAGGGUGGGCAGAGGGGCCCCGCGCGGCUGCCCCUGGCCCCCGCCCCCUCCCCCAACUGCUGCCCUUCCAGCCAGAAACAACCGACUCCACAGCGACUUUGGACCUUAGGAGCCCCUGCACGCUCAGGACUCACGCAUCUCAGUGGUCUUGAUGGACAGACAGACAGACAGACAGUUGGACGCAGAUGCAAUGCUGUGGGUGUUAAAGUGAGAGAACCCAGGGCACACCAACGAUUUCCCCCUAAACCUGAACCCUCCAACCCCACAGAGGAGCGCCUGCGCCUGCCACCGCCAGGUUCAUAUGUCCACCCCCUAGAGAAGACCAGGGUCAAGACGGAGAGUCCAGCUGGGGCGGCCCCAGUCCUGGGUAGGUGA
rnacentral:lncRNA from 1 species